UGAAAAUUGAAGUUUAGAAAGUCAUGGGUGUCCUGCCUUUCUCACCUAUUCAUUGGCUCUUACAGAAUUGUGAUUAUCUUCUUUGGUGCUUAUAAAAGAAAAGGGAGACGAGUGCUGCUUUCUGGACUUAUAGAUAAGUCAGGAAGAGAUGUUCUUAUGACAUAUUUUCAAGAGUUCCAGGAAUCUCUGACAGUGGAAGAAAUCAGCUUUGCAGAAGUUUCAGAGAAGUUAUUGGAGCCCGGUUCGUGGUUUGAUCUACUAACACGAUUGGAUUGGAUGUUCUCUUUUAAAUUUUCUGCUCACAAAUGCUUCUGUUAAACUGCACUAAGAAGCUGCAGCUGCUUCUUUCCUGCUCACUCGUCCUUAUGGGGUACAUAUAAAAUCCAGUAAGUUG
rnacentral:lncRNA from 1 species